UGUGAGCAUGCCUGUCGGGACCCGAAAGAUGGUGAACUAUGCCUGAGCGGGGUAAAGCCAGAGGAAACUCUGGUGGAAGCCCGCAGCGAUACUGACGUGCAAAUCGUUCGUCUGACUUGCGUAUAGGGGCGAAAGACUAAUCGAACCAUCUAGUAGCUGGUUCCCUCCGAAGUUUCCCUCAGGAUAGCUGGAGCUCGGACGCGAGUUCUAUCGGGUAAAGGCAAUGAUUAGAGGCAUUGGGGGCGCAACGCCCU
rnacentral:rRNA from 1 species